UUUUUCUUUUGGUCUUUUCUUAUUUAUUCAUUCAUUUUGCUAAGUUUGGUCUUGUUUACUUCUCUGCCACAGCUUAAACCAACAUUGGAUUACUUGAGAGGACUUGAGGAUUUGGAUCAAGGCAAACAAAAAGCAAAUCAAGGUGUGUUUUGUGGCAUUUUGGGGCGAUGUGAGGGACCAGCCCAGCUUAUUUCAAGACUCUGCGCACUGAUGGAUUCUUGCGCAUUUUGCCAGUGUCCUGAGUUGACCUACAAUGAGCCAUUAACUCAGGAGUCGGAGGGGGACUACAACCAAGCGCAGCACCCACCCUUACAUCCGGCUGUGCUUCGAAGUGGGUCACAGCACUAGUACCAUUCCAACGGUUCCUCCCUAGUAGCUACAGUAUAUGUCUGACCUAGCAACCGGCAAGAGGAUGAUCAACAUCCCGAGUGACACUGGAGAAGAUGAAGACGGGGGUCACACUGAGGGAAAUCACUUGUGUAGCCGGCAAAAUUGUUUUCCUUCACAUUGUAAAUGACUUAUGUUUACCUGUUUGCCAGUUAUAUGCUUGCUACAUGUUCUCAUAAGGAAAGGAUAGUCU